GAUAGUGGCUUGUUCCAGAGUGGUAGCAGUGUUGAAGACAGGCAUUUAUAUUCUGAAGAGACUGUGGAGAUAGAACUGACACAAUUUGUCCCUGCAUGGAACAUGAUAAAGGAGAAAAUGAGAAGAAUCAAUGAAUGCUUCUCAUAUUGGUCUGAACAAUGGAGAGGAUAGGUGGUUAUUGAUGGUGAUUGGGAAGAUUAUAAGAGCAGCAGUUCUCAAUCACAAAGUCAAGUGCAACAUCCUGAAAGAAGAAGGAAAUUCUGGAACCACACACGGACUGAGUCCUCUUUCUUCCUAGAAGCGGGAGUUUCACAUCACUUGCAUUCAUUUAACCAAGUGGCUCCCAGCAUGUGUAACCGUGAUGAGUGUUUUGGGGGCCCUCAGCUAUUAAAGCAAUGGAAAACAUAAAGGAGAUUCCAUCCUCCUAGGGCAACUUUUCUGAGUCUUGGGAGACCGGCUCACUAUGGAUCCCAGGAUUCUGCUUAUCCUUGAUGCAUAUUCAUGAAUAAUGAAACUGUUCCACAAGA